GCCAGCGUGGUCAGAUCGGCCCGGACCGCCGUCUUCGCGGUGGCCAGGUCGCCGGCGCGCAGGUCGUUCAGUGCGGCCCGGUCGCCC
rnacentral:tRNA from 1 species